GACGAACGCUGGCGGCGUGCUUAACACAUGCAAGUCGAACGGUGAAGCCGGAGCUUGCUCUGGUGAAUUAGUGGCGAACGGGUGAGUAACACGUGAGUAACCUGCCCUUGACUCUGGGAUAACUGCGGGAAACUGUAGCUAAUACCGGAUACGACCCUCGGAGGCAUCUCCUGGGGGUGGAAAGAAUUUCGGUCAAGGAUGGACUCGCGGCCUAUCAGCUAGUUGGUGAGGUAAAGGCUCACCAAGGCGACGACGGGUAGCCGGCCUGAGAGGGUGACCGGCCACACUGGGACUGAGACACGGCCCAGACUCCUACGGGAGGCAGCAGUGGGGAAUAUUGCACAAUGGGCGCAAGCCUGAUGCAGCAACGCCGCGUGAGGGAUAACGGCCUUCGGGUUGUAAACCUCUUUUAGCAGGGAAGAAGCGAAAGUGACGGUACCUGCAGAAAAAGCACCGGCUAACUACGUGCCAGCAGCCGCAGUAA
rnacentral:rRNA from 1 species